GCUCCCUCCGUCCGCCCGACUCACGACGUACCUACCGGGUACGGGCGAGGCAGUGGGGAAUCUUGCACAAUGGGGGAAACCCUGGAUGCAGCGACGCCGCGUGAGCGAUGAAGCCCCACGGGGUGUAAAGCUACUUUCGGCAGGGAAGAUUAUGACGGUACCUGCAAAGCAGCUGCGGCUAACUACGUGCCAGCCGCCGCGGUAAUUC
rnacentral:rRNA from 1 species